rnacentral:tRNA from 1 species
GCGGGUGUAGCUCACUGGUACAGUAUGUGCUUAGCAGGCAUGAGGUCCUGGGUUCAAUCCCAGUAUCUCCA